UACAGAGGGUGCGAACGUUGUUCGGAAUCACUGGGCGUAAAGCGCGCGUAGGCGGCUUAGUAAGUUAGGGGUGAAAUCCCAAGGCUCAACCUUGGAACUGCCUUUAAAACUGCUAAGCUAGAGUCUCGGAGGGGAUAGCGGAAUUCCAAAUGUAGAGGUGAAAUUCGUGGAUAUUUGGAGGAACACCGGUGGCGAAGGCGGCUAUCUGGACGAGCACUGACGCUCUGGCGCGAAAGCGUGGGGAUCAAACAGG
rnacentral:rRNA from 1 species